rnacentral:rRNA from 1 species
AUUGAACGCUGGCGGCAGGCCUAACACAUGCAAGUCGAGCGGAUGAAGGGAGCUUGCUCCUGGAUUCAGCGGCGGACGGGUGAGUAAUGCCUAGGAAUCUGCCUGGUAGUGUGGGAUAACGUCCGGAAACGGGCGCUAAUACCGCAUACGUCCUGAGGGAGAAAGUGGGGGAUCUUCGGACCUCACGCUAUCAGAUGAGCCUAUGUCGGAUUAGCUAGUUGGUGGGGUAAAGGCCUACCAAGGCGACGAUCCGUUACUGGUCUGAGAGGAUGAUCAGUCAAACUGGAACUGAGAAACGGUCCAGACUCCUACGGGAGGCCGCAGACGGGAAUAUUGGACACUGGGCGAAAGCCUGAUCCAGCCAUGCCGCGUGUGGGAAGAAGGUCUUCGGAUUGUAAAGCACUUUAAGUUGGGAGGGAGGGCAGUAAGUUAAUACCUUGCUGUUUCGACGUUACCCACAAAAUAAGCACCCGCUAACUUCGUG